AGGUAAGAAAGAGAAAUCAGGAGAUGAGAAUCUGAGAAAGAAAUGGUGAAAAAGCUGAUUUUAUUUCUGUACAUUGUCACUAACUUUCAGCCAUGCAGAUCCAGCACAGAGCUCUUCAAAGCUGUGAGUGUGUCAACAUCAUUCCACCUACUUGGAGGCGGCUCUGGAAUAUUUGAUUCACAGACUUUUCUCUUGGGUUUGCCUGGGGCAUCUCUACUAGGAAGACAUCCAAUCUUGAUCUGAAAACAUCAAGAGACAGAGAAUCCAGCCCUACUUUUGAUGAAGAAGAUCUUUUGCAUAUGGUAUUAUCUUGUUGUGGUGGUACGUGUAUGCUUUAAUCAAGUAAUGUCUCCAUCUUUUUGAUAAGGCUGUUUCACAGAAUCAUUGGAGACGGAAGGAAUCUCUGGAGACCAUCUGGUGCGACAUCCCUGCUCAGAGCAGGGUCAGGAAUUCCUCACUGGAGAUGCACAUUCAAUAUUUAUUUGCUCCAACUGUU